rnacentral:rRNA from 1 species
UACGGGGGGGGGCAAGCGUUGUUCGGAAUUACUGGGCGUAAAGGGCUCGUAGGCGGCCAACUAAGUCAGACGUGAAAUCCCUCGGCUUAACCGGGGAACUGCGUCUGAUACUGGAUGGCUCGAGAUUGGGAGAGGGAUGCGGAAUUCCAGGUGUAGCGGUGAAAUGCGUAGAUAUCUGGAGGAACACCGGUGGCGAAGGCGGCAUCCUGGACCAGCACUGACGCUGAGGAGCGAAAGCCAGGGGAGCAAACGGG